UUACUCUGGUUUCUCUUCAAACCACGAAUAUAUCUUUCGCCUUUUACUAAAGAUAUCCGUGGAGAGGAACGAUUAACGAGUCUAUAGACAAUUUCUCUACACCCACAUUAUGUGGGUA